AUUGAACGCUGGCGGCAUGCCUUACACAUGCAAGUCGAACGGCAGCACGGGAGCAAUCCUGGUGGCGAGUGGCGAACGGGUGAGUAAUAUAUCGGAACGUGCCCAGUCGUGGGGGAUAACGCAGCGAAAGCUGUGCUAAUACCGCAUACGAUCUAAGGAUGAAAGCGGGGGAUCGCAAGACCUCGCGCGAUUGGAGCGGCCGAUAUCAGAUUAGCUAGUUGGUGGGGUAAAGGCCCACCAAGGCGACGAUCUGUAGCUGGUCUGAGAGGACGACCAGCCACACUGGAACUGAGACACGGUCCAGACACCUACGGGAGGCAGCAGUGGGGAAUUGUGGACAAUGGGCGCAAGCCUGAUCCAGCAAUGCCGCGUGCAGGAUGAAGGCCUUCGGGUUGUAAACUGCUUUUGUACGGAACGAAACGGCCCUUUCUAAUACAAGGGGCUAAUGACGGUACCGUAAGAAUAAGCACCGGCUAACUACGUGCCAGCCGCCGCCGUAACAC
rnacentral:rRNA from 1 species